GUUGUAUCUCUAUCAAUCCGAAGCUUUCGUACAUAUUUCCUCCAGAAUUUCUAGUUGUUUUCAAUCGAUUUCGGUGUAAAAAGUAUCAAAUUUUCGACGAGAAAUUCCAAAUACUUUGUUUAUAUAGAACUCACGUUGGAAAUCCAACGUACUAUAUCUGCCGUUAGCCAAUCACAGGCCUGAAUCAAUUCGAUUUCUCCAGAGCUAUGCCCACCCUUAACCUGCGAACGGGCAUGCUCGGGGAACGAGAUUGCCCAGAAAACCGUUAGAAAAGCGCAACCUCGUUCCAAAGAGCCUGGGACCGAGGUUGAGAAAACCGUUGGCUUUUUGGCGGAAAAAAUUGUAAUGUUUGAAGAAGACAAGAUGGCGUUCUGGUUUACUUCGUAUCAUCAAAGGGCAUUUUUGUUUACAAAUACCCGCUUAUUUUACGCUACAGCGAUUGGUUAGUUUUGGAAAUUAUAACUCAAUGGACAGGGAAAACGAUUCUGUAGUAAAGAGAAAAAUACGUGCAGUUAUUUGUUGUGAAAGACGGCCCGAAAUUUCGCUCAUCGCUGUACUGGUUUAUGGAAAAUUCUACUGGCAAUUCGACCAUGGAUAAAGAGACAGCGCUUGCGUGAAAGAACAGCCUGUCUUGAUGGUAAGUUUUUAAAGGGUUUUCGGUAAUAAUUUUUAGUUUAAAGUUCUUCCCUCGAAGCC